UUAUUUUAUAAUUUAACUUGAUGUUCUUCUUAUUUGAUGUCCUGAUUCCAAUUACCCUGGUCCUUUAUGCGUAUUUUUGCAUAGAUUACCUUAACUCGCGGGGUGGGAGUUCUACAGAGGAGUACCUGACACUGAGGAGUAUUCGGUUUAUGAUGCGGGUACUGAGCUGAUUACUUUUU
rnacentral:sRNA from 1 species